UACAGAGGGUGCGAGCGUUGUCCGGAAUCACUGGGCGUAAAGGGCGCGUAGGUGGUGGCUUAAGCGUGCGGUGAAAGCUCGGGGCUCAACUCCGAGUCGGCCGUGCGAACUGGGCUCACUGGAGCAUAGUAGAGGCAGGUGGAAUUCCGGGUGUAGCGGUGGAAUGCGUAGAGAUCCGGAAGAACACCGGUGGCGAAGGCGGCAUCCUGGACCAACACUGACACUGAUGAGCGAAAGCCAGGGGAGCAAACGGG
rnacentral:rRNA from 1 species